AGGGAGCUUGGCUCCUUUGAAGUUAGCGGCGGACGGGUGAGUAACACGUGGGUAACCUACCUAUAAGACUGGAAUAACUUCGGGAAACCGGAGCUAAUGCCGGAUAACAUAUAGAACCGCAUGGUUCUAUAGUGAAAGAUGGUUUUGCUAUCACUUAUAGAUGGACCCGCGCCGUAUUAGCUAGUUGGUAAGGUAAAGGCUUACCAAGGCGACGAUACGUAGCCGACCUGAGAGGGUGAUCGGCCACACUGGAACUGAGACACGGUCCAGACUCCUACGGGAGGCAGCAGUAGGGAAUCUUCCGCAAUGGGCGAAAGCCUGACGGAGCAACGCCGCGUGAGUGAUGAAGGUUUUCGGAUCGUAAAACUCUGUUAUUAGGGAAGAACAAAUGCGUAAGUAACUGUGCGCAUCUUGACGGUACCUAAUCAGAAAGCCACGGCUAACUACGUGCCAGCAGCCGC
rnacentral:rRNA from 1 species